AUUAUUUUAUUGUUAAUAGGAUUAAAACAAAUUUUAUUAUUUAGUGAAAGAUGUAAUAGUCCAUCUCUAAUUUUUAAUAUUUUGUAGUAAAUUUGUUAUUAAGGGAUUGGAAAUAUGAGGAUCAUGCACACUUUGAUAACAUGUCCUUAUACCCAUGUUUUUUUUAAAAAUUGUGAAAUGAUUCAUUUAGAUAAGUUGGUAAAU
rnacentral:lncRNA from 1 species